rnacentral:lncRNA from 1 species
CUAGGGACUUCCUGUGAGGAGGGUUAGAGGCAGUUGGAGGUUGAAGCUUGGUUUUGGAGGUGUCCCGAGGACUGCUUUCCUUCAGAAUGGUCAUCAUGACUUCACUUUUGGCUCUCAAAGGAACAUGAGGAACAGAAAAAACUAAUUACCACACUGCCAAAAGCUGCCAGUGUCUCUCUCAAGAAAAUAUCCUGUAGACUUCUGGGGGCAGAGCCAAGAUGGCAGAGUAAAGCAGAACAGCUCCAUGAUGAGAAGAGAAUCCUCUCCAAACAAGAUUAAAAUAUUACCACAAAACAAAUACAGGAGUGAAAGAACCAAUAAGGCAACAGAGUGAAACAACUUUAAAGGAAAAAAAACCCAACCCUAAAAGAGUGUGGAGAUAAUACUUGCCUGGAAUUUGGAAAGAAAGCAGAGAAUCAACUAAGGUAAAAAGUUGUAUAUUAAAAAUUAAAUGAAAAAGAA